UUUGGGGGUGCAUGAGGCACGGCCCCUAAUGGUGUCAGUCCAGGAGCGCAGAGCAUUAUGUUGGGUUGGGCUGAACUCUCCAAUGUAGCUGACUUACUAGGGUUCAGGGGUUCUGUCCUGCCGACAGCUGGGAGUGGCUCGAUCGGUUUGCUUUGCUAAAUCGUUGGGGUGAGACUUGGCGUGUCCUGCACGGGGUUGGGGGGGGGGGGGCACUGUGACUCUUAGAGACCGUGAAGCACUUCUGUGUGUGCUUCUGUGACCCGAUCUGGGGUGGGGUGUCGGGCAGGUCCCCAUAACAGGCACAGCACAGCCUCCAAGGGGUUUGGAGCAAAACUGCAUCUUCUACAAAUAACUAUUCUCCUUUUGAGAAACAGCUUUAGAGUUUUGCCCCUGGACACUGGUAGAGGCGAAAUGCCAGAUUAUGAGACCCCGAGUGAGUGUGUGACCUGAGGUGGGUGUGAUGGGAACCCCACUGUCCAGGGGAAGUCGAGGUGUAUCAGCCCCGAGCCCGUCCCGGGAGCACAAGGAAGUCACCUGAGCGGGUGGCUCAGACUCCCAGGGCACACCCCCUCCCUCCUCUCUCUGCCCACUCCCCACAGCUGUGGCCUCAGAAGAAAAACAGAGCCCGUGAACAGAUUGGUCUAUAAAUAACGCAGACACCACGGGGACGGGAGUGCCGUGACGCCUCACGCGAGCGUGCCAGAAAGGUGGAGGCAUACCUACUGGCCUCCCCUGUGCGCCUCGUCUCCUCCAGCCGACCCCGUGCCUGCCCUGUUGUGCGGUCCGUGUCUAUGCAGCUGGAGCCCCGGCGGCCCGGAGCUGGGGAUGUGUGUCACUCGUCUUUGCUUUCCCAGUGUGGAGCCUGGAACACGGAUCUCUGGAGAGAUUAGGGGUAAUCUAAAAAUCACGUUUUCAUUAAUGUUCCUGAUUCUGCACCCUGACCAUGUGUUAUCUGUGUAAGUAUCAAAAGUAACAAAAGAUUUUAAGGACACCCAGGGACGUGGAAGGUGGAGUGGACAUUGGUCUGGAAAUGAUAGGGAAAUAACAAAAGCUAGGGGCGUGAGUGCACUCGGGCAGCACGGGGCCGGG
rnacentral:lncRNA from 1 species